rnacentral:rRNA from 1 species
AAUAGAUACCCCGGUAGUCCACCCCGUAAACGUUGGGAACUAGUUGUGGGGUCCAUUCCACGGAUUCCGUGACGCAGCUAACGCAUUAAGUUCCCCGCCUGGGGAGUACGGCCGCAAGGCUAAAACUCAAAGGAAUUGACGGGGACCCGCACAAGCGGCGGAGCAUGCGGAUUAAUUCGAUGCAACGCGAAGAACCUUACCAAGGCUUGACAUAUAGAGGAAACGUCUGGAAACAGUCGCCCCGCAAGGUCUCUAUACAGGUGGUGCAUGGUUGUCGUCAGCUCGUGUCGUGAGAUGUUGGGUUAAGUCCCGCAACGAGCGCAACCCUCGUUCUAUGUUGCCAGCACGUAAUGGUGGGAACUCAUGGGAUACUGCCGGGGUCAACUCGGAGGAAGGUGGGGAUGACGUCAAAUCAUCAUGCCCCUUAUGUCUUGGGCUUCACGCAUGCUACAAUGGCCGGUACAAAGGGCUGCAAUACCGUGAGGUGGAGCGAAUCCCAAAAAGCCGGUCCCAGUUCGGAUUGAGGUCUGCAACUCGACCUCA